rnacentral:lncRNA from 1 species
CCCACCCCACUUUUUAUGCUUCUAGACUCAUCAGUUACAAAUUAAACAGUAGGUGCAGUGGAAAGAGGGUAUGGUACUUGUGUUCAAAUCCUAGUUCUGCCACCUGUGUGAAUAUGGGCAAGUCAUUUCAACUCUAGACCUCAGUUUCCUCAUCUGUAAAAUAAGGGUAUUGGACUAAAUUACCUUUAAGAUCCCUUCCAGAUCUAAAUCAAUGCCCCUAUGAUCCUAGAGCUCUGGGGUCACCCUUCCUUCUCUGCUCACAGAACAUCCUUCGGCAGACCGAGGAGGGCUCCAGCCGACGAGAGAACGCCCAGAGAGCACUGGGGGCCAUAAGCAAGAUUAUUGAGCGAUGCAGUGCUGAAGUUGGGCGAAUGAAGCAGACGGAGGAGCUGAUCCGGCUCAGCCAGAGGCUGCGUUUCCACAAAGUCAAGGCUUUACCUCUGGUCUCCUGGUCCCGGCGUCUGGAACUGCAAGGAGAGCUGAUGGAGUUGGGAAGCCGGAAGGGCAGGUCCCUCUUCAAUUCUCGCCCCAGACUUACUCCCCUUUGCCUCCUGCUCUUCAGUGACCUACUGCUCAUCACUCAGCCUAAGAGUGGGCAAAGGUUGUAUGUUCUGGAUUAUGCCCACCGGUCCUUGGUUCAGGCCCAGCCAGNNNNNNNNNNGCCUCAUUCUAUAUCUCUCUCAUAUGCCCUCCAGAUUGCCCCCAGGCCCUGAGCAUAAAUUCUCAUGUAACUGCCAAGACAAAGGAUCUAAGCCUGGAACCUGGGGAUCUUGUCAACCAGUUUCACAAAAGUCCAGAGGGUAAGUGAAAACAGAUUUAUCUCUUAGUAAUCCCCAACAUUUUCCCACUCAUCCUCCUACCUAUCAG